CCUACGGGAGGCAGCAGUGGGGAAUAUUGGACAAUGGGCGAAAGCCUGAUCCAGCAAUGCCGCGUGAGUGAUGAAGGCCUUCGGGUCGUAAAGCUCUUUUACCAGGGAUGAUAAUGACAGUACCUGGAGAAUAAGCUCCGGCUAACUCCGUGCCAGCAGCCGCGGUAAUACGGAGGGAGCUAGCGUUGUUCGGAAUUACUGGGCGUAAAGAGUACGUAGGCGGUUAUUCAAGUCAGAGGUGAAAGCCCGGGGCUCAACCCCGGAACUGCCUUUGAAACUAGAUAACUAGAGUCUUGGAGAGGUUAGUGGAAUUCCGAGUGUAGAGGUGAAAUUCGUAGAUAUUCGGAAGAACACCAGUGGCGAAGGCGACUAACUGGACAAGUACUGACGCUGAGGUACGAAAGCGUGGGGAGCAAACAGGAUUAGAUACCCUGGUAGUCCACGCCGUAAACGAUGAUAACUAGUUGUUCGGUCACUUGGUGACUGAGUGACGCAGCUAACGCAUUAAGUUAUCCGCCUGGGGAGUACGGUCGCAAGAUUAAAACUCAAAAUGAAUUGACGG
rnacentral:rRNA from 1 species